AUAUAGAUUAUUGGCUAUCGGUAGCUCGUGAGGACUUUGUAACCACAGUCAUAAAUAUUUCUCUUGCUUGCCACGCCAUUGAUUGGCCACGCUCAUACCGCGCAUCCGUUAACCGAUAACUCACAUUAUGUCAUGUCGCGGCCAGUAAUCGACGAACAAACAGCGAUCGUUACCUUUCGACAACGUCGGACCUGUUACGAAUGGUUGUGAUCACUCGACGAAAAGAAUGGCGAUCGUCCGCUAUCGUAAUCUGAAUUAAAAUUCUUGCUGUGAAUAAAUAAAUACAUGAAGCAUGAUGGAAUAAUGAAGUUUUUUUACAAGGUAAGAACGCAUCACUACAAUCGCUCAAUAUCUUCUUGCUCAUACAUAGAUUAAAAUGAAGAGAAAAGUCAGCUCUUUCCUUGGAAGUCGCUUCUUCUACAAAAUCAUCCAGAGCUCUAAAGAGCUUCGUAAGCCCGACAGAAUAGCGAUGAUGGGAUGGGUCUUGCAACGGGCGUAAAAUGGAAGAAGGUGGGAGGAAGAGUAAGGUUGCAGCAGCGAACUCCAUAAUUAGUUAGAAACCCGAAGCCGACGAAGCUCUAGGAUUUAAUAUCUUAACACCCUCUUUAACGCAGACCAAAAUUUUGCGCCGUGUCUUUAUUGGCGAAACAUGCCAACUUGACUAGACUUGAAUUGUUCGUCGAAACUUUCUUCUUUACGCAUUUUAUCCUUUUUAUUUCAUCAAUGUGAAUUUGUUUUUAACUGGUAUCUCUUUCAUUUCGCGUUAAAGCCUUUAAAA